rnacentral:rRNA from 1 species
AUACGUAGGGUGCAAGCGUUAAUCGGAAUUACUGGGCGUAAAGCGUGCGCAGGCGGUUUUGUAAGACAGAGGUGAAAUCCCCGGGCUCAAACUGGGAACUGCCUUUGUGACUGCAAGGCUAGAGUACGGCAGAGGGGGAUGGAAUUUCGCGUGUAGCAGUGAAAUGCGUAGAUAUGCGCAGGAACACCCAUGGCGAAGGCAAUCCCCCGGGCCUGUGCUGACUCUCAUGCACGAAAGCGUGCUGAGCAAACAGGAUUAGAUACCCUGGUAGUCCACGCCCUAAACGAUGUCAACUGGUUGUUGGGUCUUCAUUGACUCAGUAACUAAGCUAACGCGUGAAGUUGACCGCCUGGGGAGUACGGCCGCAAGGUUGAAACUCAAAUGAAUUGACGGGG